UACGUAGGGGGCGAGCGUUGUCCGGAAUUAUUGGGCGUAAAGAGCUCGUAGGCGGUUCCUUAAGUCGGGUGUGAAAUCUCAGGGCUCAACUCUGAAACUGCACCCGAUACUGGGGAACUUGAGGCAGGUAGGGGAGAGUCGGAAUUCCUGGUGUAGCGGUGAAAUGCGCAGAUAUCAGGAGGAACACCGGUGGCGAAGGCGGAUCUCUGGGCCUGUUCUGACGCUGAGGAGCGAAAGCGUGGGGAGCGAACAGG
rnacentral:rRNA from 1 species